GCAUAUCAAUAAGCGGAGGAAAAGAAACCAACAGGGAUUACCUCAGUAACGGCGAGUGAAGCGGUAAAAGCUCAAAUUUGAAAUCUGGCUCUUUUAGAGUUCGAAUUGUAAUUUGUAGAAGAUGCUUCGGGUGUGGUUCCGGUCUAAGUUCCUUGGAACAGGACGUCAUAGAGGGUGAGAAUCCCGUAUGUGACUGGAUACCUAUGCUCAUGUGAAGCUCUUUCGACGAGUCGAGUUGUUUGGGAAUGCAGCUCAAAAUGGGAGGUAUAUUUCUUCUAAAGCUAAAUAUUGGCCAGAGACCGAUAGCGCACAAGUAGAGUGAUCGAAAGAUGAAAAGCACUUUGGAAAGAGAGUUAAACAGUACGUGAAAUUGUUGAAAGGGAAGCGCUUGCAAUCAGACUUGCACUUGGUGUUCAUCAGGGUCUCGUACCCUGUGUACUUCAUCAAGUUCAGGCCAGCAUCAGUUUGAGUGGUUAGAUAAAGGCUUAGAGAAUGUGGCCCUCUUCGGGGGGUGUUAUAGCUCUAGGUGCAAUGUAGCCUACUUGGACUGAGGACCGCGCUUCGGCUAGGAUGCUGGCGUAAUGGUUGUAAGCGACCCGUCUUGAAACACGGACCAAGGAGUGUACCUAAUAUGCGAGUGUUUGGGUGUUAAACCCAUACGCGUAAUGAAAGUGAACGCUGGUGAGAACCCUUAAGGGUGCAUCAUCGACCGAUCUUGAUGUCUUCGGAUGGAUUUGAGUAAGAGCAUAUUGGGUGCGACCCGAAAGAUGGUGAUCUAUACGUGAAUAGGGUGAAGCCAGAGGAAACUCUGGUGGAGGCUCGCAGCGGUUCUGACGUGCAAAUCGAUCGUCAAAUUUGCGUAUAGGGGGCGAAAGACUAAUCGAACCAUCUAGUAGCUGGGUUCCUGCCGA
rnacentral:rRNA from 1 species